GAUCAACGCUGGCGGCGCGCCUAAUGCAUGCAAGUCGGACGGGGUCGCCUUCGGGUGGCUCACGUGGCGGACGGGCGAGGAACACGUGGGCAACCUGCCCCGGGGCGGGGGGUAGCCCUCGGAAACGAGGGGUAAUUCCGCGUACGCUCGCCGGCCUGUGGGGCCGGUGAGGAAAGGCCUUCGGGCCACCCCGGGAGGGGCCUGCGGCGGAUUAGCUAGUUGGCGGGGUAACGGCCCACCAAGGCGGUGAUCCGUAGCUGGUCUGAGAGGACGGCCAGCCGCAGGGGGACUGAGACACGGCCCCCACUCCUACGGGAGGCAGCAGCAAGGAAUCUUCCGCAAUGGGCGAAAGCCUGACGGAGCGACGCCGCGUGGGGGAGGACGCCUUUCGGGGUGUAAACCCCUUUUCUCGGGGAAGAACCAGACGGUACCCGAGGAAGAAGGACCGGCAAACUACGUGCCAGCCGCCGCGGUAACAC
rnacentral:rRNA from 1 species